AUGUAGGUAAAUGAUAACUUAAAAUGUGGCAAAUGUAACAGGAGCUUCUGCUUCCACCCAAGAUGAAUAAAUUGGGACAAGAAUUGUCCUCAUGCUAUAAACAACUAGAAAAAUGAAAAAAAAAUGUAUGAAACAACAGUUCCAGAUGUUGGAGAAAGGACAGAGGAGGAUAUGCUGCCAGAGAAAAGUCUCCACAGUAAACCUGCUGGAAUGAAUACUAUUAUUUACUCCUCAUUUUGCAGAGAAGAAACUGGAAUUUUAGCGAGAAAAAGAAGAAAUCUGUAAAGGGAGAAAAAAUGUAAAUGGUAUUUUUUGGUGACAGAAUGCGUUUCUUCAGCUUUGUGGCAAACUGCCCCUACCACCACCCCUCCAGCAAAAAAAAAUUGUUGGUGAAGAACGCAAUCACAAAUAGCUUUAUAAAGAGAUGAAAAUAUUGCCUCACUUCUAAGUGAGGCUGGAUUUUCAGAAUUUUUUUUUUUGCAACUUUCAUAUGAUGUCCGGUCUGGCAACACAUGUGGCAAAAAUGAAGGCUACAUUUUUCCCUAGAUAGAAGAGCACAUCCAAUGUUUCCAACAUGAUAGUUCAGAAGAUUCAACAACUGUGAAAAGUGCUAAUCUCAGACCAUUUUAAGAGAUUAUAGAGAAAAAAAUGAAAAAUCUGGAAUAAAAAUAAACAGCUAUGAAACUCCAAAAAAAAAAAAAAAAAAAAAAAAAAAAAAAA
rnacentral:lncRNA from 1 species